AGUGUUACCUAUGUCGUCUUGGAUGGUAAUGGCUCCAUGAGUUGAAGUGUCAAUAACCUUGUAUGGUCCAUCCCACUUACUUCGUAGCUUACCAUGCCCAAAGAGCUUAACUCUUGAAUUGAAUAGUAGAACCUUAUCUCCAAGCUUAAACUCCUUGUGCUUGAUUCUCUUAUCAUGCCAUCGUUUUGUUCUCUCUUUAUAGAUCCUUGAAUUGUGGUAGGCUUUCUCUCUCCAUUCUUCUAGCUCAGAUAGUUGCAUCAGACGAUUCUCGCUAGCGAGGUGGAGAUCCAUGUUCCAUUUCUUGAGUGCC
rnacentral:lncRNA from 1 species